UACGGGGGGGGCAAGCGUUGUUCGGAAUUACUGGGCGUAAAGGGCUCGUAGGCGGCCAACUAAGUCAGACGUGAAAUCCCCAGGCUUAACCUGGGAACUGCGUCUGAUACUGGAUGGCUUGAAUUCGGGAGAGGGAUGCAGAAUUCCAGGUGUAGCGGUGAAAUGCGUAGAUAUCUGGAGGAAUACCGGUGGCGAAGGCGGCAUGCUGGACCGGGAUUGACGCUGAGGAGCGAAAGCGAGGGGAGCAAACGGG
rnacentral:rRNA from 1 species